GAUCAUUACUGAUUUGCUUAAUUGCACCACAUGUGUUUUUCUUUGAAACAAACUUGCUUUGGCGGUGGGCCCAGCCUGCCGCCAGAGGUCUAAACUUACAACCAAUUUUUUAUCAACUUGUCACACCAGAUUAUUACUUAAUAGUCAAAACUUUCAACAACGGAUCUCUUGGUUCUCGCAUCGAUGAAGAACGCAGCGAAAUGCGAUACGUAAUAUGAAUUGCAGAUAUUCGUGUAAUCAUCGAAUCUUUGAACGCACAUUGCGCCCUCUGGUAUUCCGGAGGGCAUGCCUGUUUGAGCGUCGUUUCUCCCUCAAACCGCUGGGUUUGGUGUUGAGCAAUACGACUUGGGUUUGCUUGAAAGACGGUAGUGGUAAGGCGGGAUCGCUUUGACAAUGGCUUAGGUCUAACCAAAAACAUUGCUUGCGGCGGUAACGUCCACCACGUAUAUCUUCAAACUUUGACCUCAAAUCAGCGUCUG
rnacentral:misc_RNA from 1 species